CCCCAGAAUAAACCAUGUUUGAGUCGGAAGAAUGACUGGGUGUCGUCUUUUGGGGAAAAAUACAACGCAAAGGAAUACUACAUCGCUACACAAGCUCUCCGCUCAUGUCUACGGUUUAUGAAUGUAAAGAAGGCUGAUUGGAGACUCACUAUGAUUGUUUUCCCCAGAAUAAACCAUGUUUGAGUCGGAAGAAUGACUGGGUGUCGUCUUUUGGGGAAAAACACAACGCAAAGAAAUACUACAUCGCUACACAAGCUCUCCGCUCAUGUCUACGGUUUAUGAAUGUAAAGAAGGCUGAUUGGAGACUCACUACGAUUGUUUUCCCCAGAAUAAACCAUGUUUGUGUCGGAAGAAUGACUGGGUGUCGUCUUUUGGGGAAAAACACAACGCAAAGGAAUACUACAUCGCUACACAAGCUCUCCGCUCAUGUCUACGGUUUAUGAAUGUAAAGAAGGCUGAUUGGAGACUCACUAUGAUUGUUUUCCCCAGAAUAAACCAUGUUUGAGUCGGAAGAAUGACUGGGUGUCGUCUUUUGGGGAAAAACACAACGCAAAGGAAUACUACAUCGCUACGCAAGCUCUCCGCUCAUG